UACAGAGGUCUCAAGCGUUGUUCGGAAUCACUGGGCGUAAAGGGUGCGUAGGUGGCGUGGAAAAGUCAGAUGUGAAAGCCCGGGGCUCAACCUCGGAAUAGCAUCCGAUACUACCAUGCUAGAGUACUGAAGAGGUGACUAGAAUUCUCGGUGUAGCGGUGAAAUGCGUAGAUAUCGGGAGGAACACCUGUGGCGAAAAGCGGCGCACUGGACCAUAACUGACGCUGAUGCGCGAAAAGCUAGGGGGAGAAACAG
rnacentral:rRNA from 1 species